rnacentral:rRNA from 1 species
AUGGCCGGCGGCAGAGCUCACCGGGCCUGGCAGCGGAGGGCACACGCGGUGGCGGCCAUGGCCGCGAGCAGCAGCUGCGCGAGCUCGGGUGCGGAGACCCUCCUGCACGACGCUGUCACCACCGAGGCCUCGACCAAGACGUGCCGCGACCUGGAGCUCCGCCUCGCGGCCGUGCUCGACCAGGCCACCGCGGGCGACCUGCUCGCCUUCGCGUUCAAUGGCGCUGGUGAGCGCGUCAUUAACACCGAAUCGCUCCGGCGUGUCAUCGCCGCGUUUGUGGAGCGCGAGUCCGGCGCCGGGCGGAACAGGAGGGCGUCGCUGUCCGGAGCGGCGGCGCUGGGCGCAGGGGUGCUGCAGAAGGUGGCCAAGAUGGUGGACGAAGUGGCGGCGGAGAUCGCGACGGACGAGUCCCUACCGAUAUCCAAGUUCGUGGGCGUCGCCGGCGGGAGGCACACGCUCCAGCAGCGGCGCAGGCUGUACACGCGAGCUCCGGCGGCUGCCGGCGCGGCUCGCCGGCCGAACGAGGCGGCGUCGAGAGGAACUGCGCCAGUGGUGCUGUGA